CAGAGAAUAGUUUAUAGUAUAAAAUAUUAAUUUUGGAGAUUAAUGAUAAAGAGUUCUUUUUUUCUGA
rnacentral:tRNA from 1 species